rnacentral:ncRNA from 1 species
UGAUAGCUGUGAAGCGUGAGGUUGCUGCCCGACACGAGGCAGGUUUUCCGUGGAGCGAAUGUCAAGUUAGGAAACUGGCGACAA